rnacentral:tRNA from 1 species
AAGGCUAUAGCUUAAUUAAAGUAUCUGCGUUGCAUGCAGAAGAUGUGGGAUAAAAUCCCGCUAGUCUUA